CGGCUCUGUCCAACGCGCGCUUUCAAAAGGAGGAUCCAACACGUGUUCGGCACAGUCCUUCAAAGGGAGGGGGAGGGGUGAACAGUGAAUGCAGCUCCUCACAGGUGGAGUAUCACUCCCCCUGCUGGCAGCAGCUGUUACUACAGGACUCAACACGCGGAUUUCAUCAGCUGCUUGUAAUAAAUGACAUGAAUAGGCCUUUACUGUCAGUGCUGUUAAUACAAAGACAUCACAUUUAAUGUCCUUCUCUACCACAAUAAAAUAAGAGAAUUAGAUCAAAUAGAUAUUAAUAUCUGCAUACACAUCAUUCAGCACAACUUCACAGAUCACCUUAUUCUUCUGCUUUUACUCAGGGCUUGAGUCUGUUAGAGUUUUACUGGUCUUCUUUACUCGUCUCCAUAAGUCUGUAAACAGACUCGUGUCCCAAUAUUUACUGACCGGCCUGGUGAGGUCGCUUGCUGUCACGACUGUUCCUACAGUCAUACAGUACAUGUCGCUCUAUGUAGGUCAUGUGACCAAUAUCAUUUGAAUUUUUUUGCAGAAGGUUGCUGUUCCAUUUAAUACUGAAGCGUUGGCUCUAGUGGCUCUUUGAACUACUCUAACUGUUCAACCGUUUGGACUCUAAAGCUGAGAAAAGCAGCUUUGGGCUUCUUUACUCCUUCACAGUACCUUUUGGAUUUACUACUUUGCAGUAGUUAUAUGCUAUAAGGUAGUGUUGUAAUGAAGUUAAUUGCAUAAAUGUCAGGUUUCUCUUUCAUUUAUCAGAAUCAAGCUGUGGAAGAAAAAGCCUGCAGGAUUCACCAGAUUUGCACCAAGUCUCUUCCAACUGUAGCUGGCAGGCAUGCGCUGGUAAACAGUAGCUAGUGAAAAAGAAGUGCCUCCCUGCGUCUCCAGUGUGAACACCAUGGACCAUACAUGCGUUCAAGAAUGCAUGUCACAUGCUUGGUGUGAACGUAGCACAAGAGUCAGCAGGUUCAGAGCUGAACAGAAAGCUUCAUCCUCAGAGCUGACAGUAUGGAGUCCCAAAUUGUUCAUAAUUGAAAAGAUUAAAUGUGCAAUCACACAGUCAACCAAGAAAUCUUCAUCCCAUAAAUGCUUUUUAUUUAACAUUGCUGUUUUUCAGGAUGACCACAAGGUCGUAUUUCUUUUUUUAAUUUGGGGCUCCAUAUGAGAGCAUCUCUUGUUGGCACCGUCUCCGAUUUUGUGCUGCUCUUAGGUGUUUGGAGAUCCACCGAACUCAAACUAUGCAACACUUUUGCAGAAAAUAGUCAUUUUGAGAUGAAGCAGCAGAAACGAAGGCUUUACUUCUCUCUAAAUAGAACUUUUAUUGCAAGUAGUCCUUCAUACUAGCAGCUGAUCACAGCACACACAUACCAUAAUAUUCUGUCUGCAGACAAAGCAGCCUGAAAAGGAAUUCUUCUGUGUUUGUUCAACAGUGGUCUAAUUGCAUCCUCCUCCAGCGUACCCGUCUGUCGAGCACCAUCACCGCACAUUCUUACAGCUCACACUGCAGCUGCACAAAAACACAACAAACAGCCACAGAGAAAAGAAAACUAAACGUCUCGAAAGAAAUACAUCUGAAGACACACAGCUAAAAAAACCUCUUAAAUACUCGUGUUUCAGCAGAUUUGGCAGCUGGCCACGCUGCAGCGUUUGUUAUCAGGAGGCAUUUUUACACGCCAUGCAGCGGCAGCCGAGGUUUUCAGCAGAAGUUCAAAUGAAGUGGUGACUGGAUGAUUUUUUUUACAGCGGCCACGCCGACACGUUUAAAGGUUGGGCUGUGGCAGUUCAGUGACAGGCGUGUGGCAGGAUGGCUUCAGCGCGAUAAUAGACUCAUAGGAGGGUCUCCAAGGUCCCCCAAUUCAUCUGAUGAUUGGCCGAUUUCAGCCCGCCAUCCUCCAGCCGGCGUCCCGUGGCCCCGCUCCCACCGUCCGAUCCAGGCCACCGUGGACUCUAUCCACUCCAUUGUUUCAUGUGUGUGAACACGCACACAAGCACAGUGAGGACCCCCCCACCCCACACGUGUGGCUUUCCUUUACCCGUGUUUUCCUUUUUUUUGCGAGGUAUCGUGACUCUAGUGUGCACGACUCGUGAUAUUUGCACCAGAAAUAAGGCUGAGCGGUUUGAGUUUGUAACUUUGUCUUUGUAGGUAGUUUGUAGUUUUAUUUUUUCUUGUACAGUGAGAAUGAACAAGCAGUGCAAGCGUGCAGGUAACAUUGUCCCGGUCCACCAGGCGGCCGUUGGCAUUUGAUGUGCUCGACAUUUACACAUCGUCCAGUCAGAGCUGCUGCCGGCCGGCGACCCGACUGCCACCGCCUGCGCUGCCCAGCUGUCACUCAAUUUUGGAAUGGCGUCAUACCCGCCUGACUGACGGCGGGUGGACCGUCUGCAUUCAUGACUGUGCCAACGACUUUCCUUAAAAAAUAGGUGACAAAUUGAAUUUGGAUUUAACAAAAAACAAAUCACUGUGGCAGUUUUCCUAAAAAGAUUAGAGGUUGAAACAAAGAAAGUAGAUAAGGCAGGACGCCAUUCACAGGCGAGUUGGACAGUCUGGAACUAUAAAUACUCCUCAAGGGCUCUUUCUGUCCAAAAUAUCACAUUCUAAUCAUCUAUUUUUAACUAAAGGAAUUAGAAGCCUGUUUCUCAUUCUUUUAUCCGCUUUGAAGAGGUUCUGCUCUCAGGGGAUCUGUGUAAAAAUAAAGAUGGCUGUCACCUGAACACAACACGAUGUGUUUGAUGACAUUACAGUCUAGGAAUCAAUAAAAAAACAAUUAAAAAAAAUGAAACAAAAUAACAUUUCGAAGGAAACUUUUGGAAAACAAAAGUGGUUUUCAGAAAUGAAAAAGAAGUGUUAAAAAAUGACAAUAAGAAAUCUGAAAACGUAGGUAUUAUGGGAUGUCACUGAUUGGAUGAUGUUUGCUCACCUUUUCAGCUGGAAGUUGUUUCCCAAUAUUUCUUUAAAGGGCUUAAACUUUGCUAUUCUUUAUCAUAGUAGACUAUAUCCAUGACAACAGAUAACCUUUGGCACAAAAGAACACAUUUUUUAUUAAAUAUGAGUUAUUUUCCAGAGUUCUUUUCUAACCCAGAAGUAAGACGACUCAAUCGCUGUGGGUGCCGCCCAUUUUAUGACAUCAUCCUCGGCAGCGUGUCUGCCUUUCUCCCACGAAAACAAACAUUCGAACCUUUGCAAAAAUGGAUGUUCAAAUUGUGCAAAUCAAAGGAAAGCCUUUAAGCUGAUCACCGCUAGCUCCACAAAGAAAGUGGGCGUGUCUUAGCCUGGGGGUGGAGCUGGCAGCACAGACUCUUCCUGGAAGGGGCUGUCCUCACUUUGUGACAUCACAAUGUGAGAACUCACUCGUUUUCGUGGACUGGGAGGGGCUGGUGCUCAGAGAGCAGGUUUUUAGAGGAAUAAUCAGAGAUGGGUGAGUGGAUCAAAACACUUUGGGUUGUUUUUCAUGAGGAAGGAACAAUAUAAUACACUUAAAAGCACAAAAUGUUGAUUUAGCAUGAUAUAGGCCCUUUAGGCUUUUGAAUACAGCCACUGCAAAAGUGGUGUGAGUGUUGGAUGUCCCAUAAUAAAUACCUUUUCCAGUUUUUUUAAAUAUUUCAUUCUGAUUGGAAAUUGAUUUUUGGAAAUUAGUUUUGUUUCCAAAGUGUUUUUUUUUAUGUAUUGAUUUCAGGAAUUUUGCUUUCAUUUCUGAAAUGUAAUGUGUUUUUUUGUUUGUUUUGCCUUUUCUUUUUUUUUGUUGUGAUCUUUAAUAUGUUUUUGCGCUGAGUGAAUUGUUGAUGUGAUUUGCACAUCAGGGCAAACAUUUAGAGGUUCUGCUCACUCAUAACAGGACUCUUGAGUUCAAGAGGGAAAAAAGUGUCACACAACCAAUUCUGAUGGCUUGCGGGCAAAAAAAUAAAUAAAUGUGUGUCGGAGUGGACGAGAAAGACACAAACAUAGAGACGAACCUUCAUGGACAAAAACAGAGGAACCUGAUUGUUGACUCCUCCACGAGGAGAAGCAGCAGCUCUACUCCAAGCUCCUCCAGGAUGGCUGACUCAGCUCGUUAACCCGUCUCACCUGAACUCACGUGGGAGGACAGACAGACAAGAUCACCUUUUUGAACCCCUUUGCAUUAGAACACUUGCUUCAGCGUUUUGGAUCACUUGAAGACUUUUCAUCAAAUUUCCUGUGCAGCCUGAUCACUGAUCAGGAUUCUCCUAUUUCAUUGAUUUUUGCACACAAAAUAAAAUUAGCAUCACUGUUGACUACGUUUUCAAGUUAACUAGCAAAAAAA